GUGCUUGCUUCAGCAACACAUAUACUAAAAUUGGAACGAUACAGUGAUUAACAUGGCCCUUGCGUAAGGAUGACAUGCAAAUUUGUGAAGUGUUCCAUAUUUAA
rnacentral:snRNA from 1 species